CCUACGGGUGGCAGCAGUGGGGAAUAUUGGACAAUGGGCGAAAGCCUGAUCCAGCCAUGCCGCGUGUGUGAAGAAGGCCUUCGGGUUGUAAAGCACUUUCAGUGGGGAAGAAAGCCUUGGGGCUAAUACCCUCGAGGAAGGACAUCACCCACAGAAGAAGCACCGGCUAACUCCGGGCCAGCAGCCGCGGUAAUACGGAGGGUGCGAGCGUUAAUCGGAAUUACUGGGCGUAAAGCGCGCGUAGGCGGUCUGAUAAGCCGGUUGUGAAAGCCCCGGGCUCAACCUGGGAACGGCAUCCGGAACUGUCAGGCUAGAGUGCAGGAGAGGAAGGUAGAAUUCCCGGUGUAGCGGUGAAAUGCGUAGAGAUCGGGAGGAAUACCAGUGGCGAAGGCGGCCUUCUGGACUGACACUGACGCUGAGGUGCGAAAGCGUGGGUAGCAAACAGGAUUAGAUACCCCUGUAGUC
rnacentral:rRNA from 1 species